rnacentral:tRNA from 1 species
GUAAGCAUAGUUUAAUAAAAACACUAAGCCGUGGCCUUAACAAUAGAGGUCCUCGCCCCUCUUGCUAACC